rnacentral:antisense_RNA from 1 species
AUCACGACAGUGGGGAGCAGCCGAUGGCGGCGACGGAU